UACGUAGGGUGCGAGCGUUGUCCGGAAUUAUUGGGCGUAAAGGGUGCGUAGGCGGUUCGUUAAGUCUGUCGUGAAAUCCCCGGGCUCAACCUGGGAAUGGCGAUGGAUACUGGCGAGCUAGAGUGUGUCAGAGGAUGGUGGAAUUCCCGGUGUAGCGGUGAAAUGCGUAGAGACCGGGAGGAACAUCAGUGGCGAAGGCGGCCAUCUGGGACAACACUGACGCUGAAGCACGAAAGCGUGGGGAGCAAACAGG
rnacentral:rRNA from 1 species